AAAAAAAAAAAAUUAAGAGCAACAGAAACACUAAAAGCAUUGAUAAACUCCAGUCUCUAUUACAAAUAAUGAAUAGUUCAUCCAUUAACGCGCAGUUCCAAAAUUAAAUCUGGACGUUCUAUAAACUGUCAGUGGAGUCCGAUAAAUUCAACCUAGGGUUUUACUUACCCAAGGAAAGCUAGAAACGUAUAACAUAAAAUUAAAGCAAAUUUCCAGUUAACUGACCUCAUCUUCGAUUGGGUUCAAGAACUUCAGAACAACCAAAAAUAAAAAUCUGCAAAAAGAACAAUGAUAGCCUCAUUCUCGAGGGGGCGAAAAAGAAAGAAGCUAGGGUUUAAAAGGAACCGAUGAAAAUUCCGAACAAAUACCGAACUAAGAGGAAAUUAGCAGGAAUGAAGAGAUUGAGAACUUACCAGUGGAGGUUUUACGAACGAGGGUUUUGUUGAAGCCCCAAUUCCUUCAAAUUCAAAAGCGUGCUCGACAGGCGCUCGAUUUGUACGUGUGAGCAAAUUUAUAUGGUGAACCCUUUAGGAGGCCCAAUAUUUCGCCUAAUAAAAAUUAUAUUUUCUACAAAUUCAUUUUCAAUCAUAUAUUAUCCCU
rnacentral:lncRNA from 1 species